rnacentral:rRNA from 1 species
GACAGAGGGGGCAAGCGUUGCUCGGAAUUACUGGGCGUAAAGGGCGCGUAGGCGGAAUGGCAAGUCGGUCGUGGAAAUCCUUCGGCUCAACCGAAGAACGUCGAUCGAAACUGCCGUUCUUUGAGGAUUGCAGAGGAGACUGGAAUUCCCGGUGUAGCGGUGAAAUGCGUAGAGAUCGGCAGGAACACCCAGGGGGAAACCAGUCGACUGGGCAGGCACCUGACGGCUGAGGUGCGAGAGCGUGGGGAGCGAACCGG